ACGGGUGAGUAAUGCUUAGGAAUCUGCCUAUUAGUGGGGGACAACAUCUCGAAAGGGAUGCUAAUACCGCAUACGUCCUACGGGAGAAAGCAGGGGACCUUCGGGCCUUGCGCUAAUAGAUGAGCCUAAGUCGGAUUAGCUAGUUGGUGGGGUAAAGGCCUACCAAGGCGACGAUCUGUAGCGGGUCUGAGAGGAUGAUCCGCCACACUGGGACUGAGACACGGCCCAGACUCCUACGGGAGGCAGCAGUGGGGAAUAUUGGACAAUGGGGGGAACCCUGAUCCAGCCAUGCCGCGUGUGUGAAGAAGGCCUUUUGGUUGUAAAGCACUUUAAGCGAGGAGGAGGCUACCGAGAUUAAUACUCUUGGAUAGUGGACGUUACUCGCAGAAUAAGCACCGGCUAACUCUGUGCCAGCAGCCGCGGUAAUACAGAGGGUGCAAGCGUUAAUCGGAUUUACUGGGCGUAAAGCGCGCGUAGGUGGCCAAUUAAGUCAAAUGUGAAAUCCCCGAGCUUAACUUGGGAAUUGCAUUCGAUACUGGUUGGCUAGAGUAUGGGAGAGGAUGGUAGAAUUCCAGGUGUAGCGGUGAAAUG
rnacentral:rRNA from 1 species